AUUGAACGCUGGCGGCAGGCUUAACACAUGCAAGUCGAGCGGGGGAAGGUAGCUUGCUACCGGACCUAGCGGCGGACGGGUGAGUAAUGCUUAGGAAUCUGCCUAUUAGUGGGGGACAACAUCUCGAAAGGGAUGCUAAUACCGCAUACGUCCUACGGGAGAAAGCAGGGGAUCUUCGGACCUUGCGCUAAUAGAUGAUCCUAAGUCAGAUUAGCUAGUUGGUGGGGUAAAGGCCUACCAAGGCGACGAUCUGGAGCGGGUCUGAGAGGAUGGUCCGCCACACUGGGACUGAGAAACGGCCCAGACACCUACGGGAGGCAGCAGUGGGGAAUAUUGGACAAUGGGGGGAACCCUGAUCCAGCCAUGCCGCGUGUGUGAAGAAGGCCUUAUGGUUGUAAAGCACUUUAAGCGAGGAGGAGGCUACUUUAGUUAAUACCUAGAGAUAGUGGACGUUACUCGCAGAAUAAGCACCGGCUAACUCUGUGCCAGCAGCCGCGGUAA
rnacentral:rRNA from 1 species